rnacentral:rRNA from 1 species
CCUACGGGAGGCAGCAGUCGAGAAUAGUCUACAAUGGCCGAAAGGCUGAUAGUGCGACGCCGCGUGAACGAAGAAGCCCUUCGGGGUGUAAAGUUCUUUUAUAUGUGAGCAGUGCUUUCUAUGUGAACAGCAUAGGGAGAGAGAUAUUAGCAUAUGAAUAAGCAACGGCUAACUCCGUGCCAGCAGCCGCGGUAACACGGGGGUUGCGAGCGUUGUCCGGAAUUACUAGGCGUAAAGGGCAGGCAGGCGGAUUUAUAAGUUUUCUGUUUAAGGCAACGGCUCGCCCGUUGUAAGGCAUUAGAUACUGUGGAUCUGGAAUGCGGUUGGGGAAGACAGAAUUCCUGGUGUAGCGGUGGAAUGCGCAGAGAUCAGGAGGAAUACCGAAGGCGAAGGCAGUCUUCCAAGCCGUUAUUGACGCUAAACUGCGAAGGUGUGGGUAUCAAACAGGAUUAGAUACCCUGGUAGUCCACACAGUAAACGAUAAUCACUAGGUGUCGGGUUCGUAGAGGAUUCGGUGCCGUAGCUAACGCGAUAAGUGAUUCGCCUGGGGAGUACGAUCGCAAGGUUAAAACUCAAAGGAAUUGACGG